rnacentral:rRNA from 1 species
GACGAACGCUGGCGGCGUGCUUAACACAUGCAAGUCGAACGGAAAGGCCCUGCUUUUGUGGGGUGCUCGAGUGGCGAACGGGUGAGUAACACGUGAGUAACCUGCCCUUGACUUUGGGAUAACUUCAGGAAACUGGGGCUAAUACCGGAUAGGAGCUCCUGCUGCAUGGUGGGGGUUGGAAAGUUUCGGCGGUUGGGGAUGGACUCGCGGCUUAUCAGCUUGUUGGUGGGGUAGUGGCUUACCAAGGCUUUGACGGGUAGCCGGCCUGAGAGGGUGACCGGCCCCUUUGGACUUGGGUUCCGCCCCGGCCCCUUCCGGGGGCCACAGGGGGGGAUUUUUGCCCAUGGGGCGAAGCCCGGUGGCACAACCCCCCGGUGCGGGAUGCCGCCUUCCGGGUGUAAACCCCUUUUCCCCGUGACGAAGCGUGAGUGACGGUAAUGGGUAAAGAAGCACCGGCUAACUACGUG